UACGGAGGAUGCGAGCGUUAUCCGGAUUUAUUGGGUUUAACGGGUGCGUAGGCGGGCUUUUAAGUUAGCGGUAAAAUACGGGGGCUCAACCUCCGCCCGCCGUUGAAACUGACGGUCUUGAGUGGGCGAGAAGUAUGCGGAAUGCGCGGUGUAGCGGUGAAAUGCAUAGAUAUCGCGCAGAACUCCGAUUGCGAAGGCAGCAUACCGGCGCUCAACUGACGCUCAUGCACGAAAGUGUGGGUAUCGAACAGG
rnacentral:rRNA from 1 species